GCCUGGGUGGCACAGCGGUUAAGCGCGUCUGCCUUCGGCUCAGGGCGUGAUCCCGGCGUUGUGGGAUCGAGCCCCACAUCAGGCU
rfam:Ailuropoda melanoleuca scaffold314_26, whole genome shotgun sequence.